rnacentral:ncRNA from 1 species
GGGUAUCCGGUUUUUUAGAAACGGUGAAAAGGGAAACAGGUGAGAAUCCUGUGCGAACUCGUCACUGUGAACAGGGAGCGCAGCCCAUAGGAAGGCCACUGAGAGAUUGGGAAGGCAGAGUUGCGUGUGGAACUGUGAGUCAGGAGACCUGCCUGUUGUUG